rnacentral:rRNA from 1 species
UACGGAGGGUGCAAGCGUUAUCCGGAAUCACUGGGUUUAAAGGGUGUGUAGGCGGCUUGGUAAGUCAGAGGUGAAAGCUUCCCGCUCAACGGGAGAACUGCCUUUGAUACUGCCAGGCUCGAAUUGGGUUGAGGCUGGCGGAAUGUGGCAUGUAGCGGUGAAAUGCUUAGAUAUGCCAUAGAACACCGAUUGCGAAGGCAGCCAGCCAAGCCUUGAUUGACGCUGAGGCACGAAAGCGUGGGGAUCAAACAGG